rnacentral:rRNA from 1 species
AUACGGAGGAUCCGAGCGUUAUCCGGAUUUAUUGGGUUUAAAGGGUGCGCAGGCGGCCAUUUAAGUCAGCGGUUAAAUCGUGGGGCUCAACCCCAUUCUGCCGUUGAUACUGGGUGGCUUGAUUGCGGUCGAGGUUGGCGGAAUUCGUUGUGUAGCGGUGAAAUGCAUAGAUAUGACGAAGAACACCGAUUGCGUAGGCAGCUUACCAGACCGCAAAUGACGCUCAUGCACGAAAGUGCGGGGAUCGAACAGGAUUAGAUACCCUGGUAGUCCGCACAGUAAACGAUGAAUACUUGUUUUCGGCGAUAGAAUGUCGGAGGCAAAGCGAAAGCGAUAAGUAUUCCACCUGGGGAGUACGCCGGCAACGGUGAAACUCAAAUGAAUUGGCGGGG